rnacentral:ncRNA from 1 species
UUAGCUAUUUUAGAUAGGUUUGUAUUCAUCACGAUGGAUACAAACGACUUGAGUGUUUUUUGUAUCUAUGAUGGCUAGAGCAUUUCAACGUACCAACGGCCGCAUAGAGAAAUCUAAGUGGCUGAGGGAUCAUACUAUUUUUGUAUUCGUAUCACCCACUUAGAGUUUUAGACUUCUAAG